ACUAUGGAGCGAACAAAUCUAACUAGAGAAGAAAUGAUAAGGGCAGAGGGUCUUUUGGGGGGUGGCAUGAAUCAAACACAUGUUAAGGUUUCUCUGUAAAACACAGUUAUUAAAUUUUAAAGCUUCCACAACAGCUUGAAUAUGAUGAGGCAUGCUUCGUCACAGAUUUGAAAUAAGACAUCCCGUAACUGCAGAAGUGAGUUUCAGAUCGGGUGACAUCGAUGGCAAAGGAAGAUGCAAAAUUUCAAGUUCCCUCAUCAUGUUAAGAACACUUCAUGAGGCCAUACUUUGUCGUCUAAAAACUGGAACUCCGCUCCUACCUCUUCGUUUCCUUUGUGAUGAUGUCUCUACAAUGACGUCCGGCGUCCUAGAGCGAUGCUACUCCAAACCAUUAUUGAACCACUUCUAAAAGCGUGAACUUCUUGGAUAAAUCCGCGAUGCAUUUGAAAAUUUCUUGCACUCCACGUCCUAACUUCAUUAUGGAAACCAUACUUUGAUUCAUUAGAAUACAGCGCAGCGUUCCAUACCAUAACCCAAUGUUGCCCCCGUUUUUCUUUGUUUCCUUACAAGUCUAAUUAUCACACUUUGUAACGUUCCUGUCGCUAUCACAACCCUAUUAAUUUCAACUUCACUUAAAUAAUGUAAAAGCAUAAUUGUGAACUGUACCACUCGAGAAAAUAAGAAAAACAACUAAAUUAUUUAAAUCAUUAUCAUCAGUAAUAAGGAAUUGUUUUGAAUUUUUUUAUAGUGUGGUAAAUACACAGCAUAUAUAGUUUUUGAAAAAAUAAUAUUCUUGAAAAUUUCACCAAAUAAAUAUGUUUUAUAUUAAAUUACGAUUGUGUCGGUAUUUGAAGAUAUCUCAUUGACCAGAGGUACGCCUCAGUUCCUUUACCA